AUAUAUCAACCUCUUUGGUUGGAUGUGGGUUUGCUGGACUUUUUGAGAUCAGCUUCCCUUAAAUGUAUUAGCAGACAAUGUUUUGCCAAACGCUCAUUGGUGUGAUAAUUAUCUACGCUAUUGACGUGAAGCAAGUUUUGCUUCUAACUGUCUAUUGACUUGGACAAAUUUAUUA
rnacentral:misc_RNA from 1 species